AUCAGUUGGUGGAUGUGUGGGGUAUUUUAGCAAGUCGGUUUGUUUCUCAGUCCAACUUAGUCAAUUUCAGUAGCUUACAAAACCUUUCGUUUGGAUGGACUGUCAAGCAAUCAUUGCUUCAUGAAAAAACAAUUGGAUUUUGGAUUUUGAGAUAUUGUUGAUUUGUCACCUAAAUAUCAGGUAGGAUCCAAACAGGCUGCAAAAAGGGUUUUAAAUCAAAAUAAGGGUUUCAUCCCGGAACCCUGGUUUUGACAGUGCAUCCAAACAGGCCCUUAAAGCUACCAUUUGCAUUAUACGUCGGUCAGUAGAGGUUUCCUAAACUAUGAAUAAGAGAAAUUUAUUCAGCUUCCUUCGCACCAUACAUGUGACAAACGUCUAGGGUGAUUCAAGCUAUUUUUCUAGUCAGGUGGUCCACAAUCAACAGUUGAUUGUCAGAUGUUUUGCAUGUGUUCCAUGAGGUGGCUGCAUAGUAUUUCUAUGACUCAAGCUUGCACAUUAGCUUCCUCCAUAGAUGAACAACAUUUGAAGGUCAUCCACCACUGAUAUGUAGUGAUUGCCUUUUCUUUUGAAAAGAGUAAUGCUACUGCAAUGGUAAGUAAUUAUUCAUUGGUUGGGCCAUCAGAAGAUGCCCAUUUCCUUUCCAACAUCUACAUUUGAGGAACACCUCAUAUUUUCAUGCCUCUUUCUUCUUUUUGUUUCCAUCAUUGUUGAAUGCUCCAUAUCUAGUAUAAUGAUUUGACGAUCCUUUACCAUGGUCAGAAAGAAUCUUUGACCAUUUAUUGGGGAAGUCGAUGCUGCAGCAUUACCAUAACCGCAUGCACAAACAAGACAUGUAACUUAUGCAUGUUGGCCCAGCUGCAUGGUGCUGACGAUGAUGCUCCUUGUCAAGCUUUAAAAACCAUGAGUUGUGUUUUCUUACAACUCAUCUUCAGAUAUCAAAUCCCAAAUCCUUUUCAAGGGAUCUUCCACAAAAAAGGCAGACAAGCUUGGAGUCACAUGGGGAGCCUUUGCCAAUUGUUUCAUUGAGUUUCCAUGAUUCUUGUCAAGGUAAUUCAUUGAAAAUUUGAUUUGUUAGCUGGUUUCGAAGCUUAGGAUUCAACUACAGGCAGUUUAAUCCAAACUGCCCAAAGUUUAUUUCUUGAUCAAACUUUGGUUUAUAUAUUUGUUUGAAUGUAAUCUUUACUUCACUAAGAAAGUGGGAAUUAACUUAUAGUUUGAAAGAUUUACCUCAUAUGAUUUGUGAGAUUUUGGAUAUAUUUUUUGUUAGUAUAGAUUUAAUUAUUGUAUCAACGCUCUUUCUAAGAUUGCUUUUAGAUAAGAGUUGUCAUGAUCCUUCUUGUUUAGGUGGCAACCUGGGAUUGGGUAUCAUAUAUACAAUCAAUUUUUUAUUUUUUAUUUUUA